AAUUUGAAUGGAGUCUUUCCUUUGCCCCACUGGCUGGCAGCGCAGUUUGCUCCUGUCUCUGCCUGUCUCUGAUAUUUGGGAUUGGUUUAUUGCCCACGGGCUGGCAGAGUAAUCGAUCAUGCCUUGAGGUUAUUUUAUAAAAACAAUAUUAAUACCAAAACCCCACAGACCAGCGGAAGUAGUUCACUGCAUCCUUUCACCCUGACUGGACUUCUAACCUCUGUGUUUAUAUUUAUUUCUUAGACAGUGCAGGUUCCGUUCAGCACCAGCAACCCCCCGGACCGGUUCUUGUUUUACAUGAAAAACCAAAGCAACACCACCAGCGUCAUCACUUUGGAGUCAGUUCAGUUCCGCGACUGGUUUAUCAGCAACAAUAACUCCAAUGAGCGUUCGCCAGUGGCCAUGUGCAGAGGAACUGAGGCUGCAGGACGCGUCGUCCACUUCAGUCUCUCAAGCUUAGCAAAUCUCUCGCAACGGUAUCUUGCAAAAGCUAAGAGAAGCAGAAAGGAGCAGAUACUGGCUCUGGUUGAGGCAAAAAGAUUCUGGUUGGAGACCACAAGGACAGUAAAAAGAAAGCAACUUCGAUGAAGGAACUCUCUGAUGAAACCAGGCGGAUACCUCCCUGUUUAGACUGCGUUUGUGGAUCUCCUGCUCUGGCCCUCCUGCUCUGCACUGGACUCUCUGACCUCAGCACCACUUUACUGGAUCCUCAGCUGAUGCGCUAUCCUUGAACUA